rnacentral:rRNA from 1 species
GACGAACGCUGGCGGCGCGCCUAACACAUGCAAGUCGAACGAGCGAAAGAGAGCUUGCUUUCUUGAGCGAGUGGCGAACGGGUGAGUAACGCGUGAGGAACCUGCCUCAAAGAGAGUGACAACAGUUGGAAACGACGGCUAAUACCGCAGAAGCCCACGGUACCGCAUGGCACCGAUGGAAAAGGAGCCAUCCGCUUUGAGAUGGCCUCGAAUCCGAUUAGCUAUUUGUUGAGGUAACGGCCCACCAAGGCGACGAUCGGUAGCCGGACUGAGAGGUUGAACGGACACAUUGGGACUGAGACACGGCCCAGACUCCUCCGGGAGGCAGGAGUGGGGGAUAGUGCAACAUGGCGGAAAUCCUGAUGGAGCGACGACGCGUGGAGGAAGAAGGUCUUCGGAUUGUAAACUCCUGUUGUCGGGGCAGAUAAUGACGGUACCUAACAAGGAAGAGACGGCUAACUACGUG